UCGCUAUUAUAGAGUAAACAAGCAAUUGUUUAAACAUUUGCUUGAUAUGCUAUCUAAUUUCUUCCCUCCAACCAAGAAACCAAUAUCAGUUCCUUCUAUAGUCAAGCUAAGUGCAUGCUUACGCUUUUUUUCCGAACGGGCGUAGGAAAAGAUCAUGAGGUUGGGCUGGCUCAAUCUUCUUUUUCGGAAGUCCUGGCAAAUGUCUUGGGUUUUUUUGAGACCACAAUUUGCCCCAUAUUUUUAAAAACUGAAAUGAACGACGAAGAAAAGAGGCGAACAAAAUUGAACUUUUACGAAAAACGUGUAAUACCUGGGGUAAUGGGCUGCAUAGACGGCACUCACGUUAAAAUAAUUGGCCCACCAACGAACAAACACUUAUGUAUAUUACAACAGGAAAGGAUAUUUUAUUUUGAACGUCUUACUUGUUUGCGACGACGAGAUGAAAAUUAGAUUUGUAGAUGCUUCACACUCUGGAGCAUCACAUGAUUCAUUUAUUUGGAGAGUAAGUGAACUGCGAUCCUGGCUAGAAGAAAAAUAUUUAAAUGGUGACAGAAAUUCUUGGCUAUUGGGUGAUGCUGGAUAUCUCUUGGAACUAUGGUUCAAUCACCGCAUCGAACAGUACAAGGUUCAUCGGAAGAUAAUUUCAAUGAAGCCCAUACUCGGUGCCGAAAUAUAAUUGAAAGGACGAAUAGGGUCCUUAAAGGAAGAUGCAGGUGUCUGCUCGGUGCCAGAGAGCUGCACUACCUUUCAAAAAAAGCAAUUAAAAUAGUGAAUGCAUGCUGCGCCUUACAAAACAUGUGCAUUCAUUUUAAAAGCGAUUUUCCAGUUAAUGUGAGUACUGAAUUUAUAGAUGAUGAAGUCAAUUCCACCGACACCAAUAAUAGAGGUGAAGAUUUUGAUAUAAACGGUAUAGAAUACAAUCACCAAGCAAAACGUAUAAGAAGAGAAAUAGGAAAUAGACUUUAAGUUUUUAAGCUAAUCAAAACACAUUUAUUUUUAGUAUUCAUUUACUUAUGGGUGUAUUUCGUACUCAAGUGAUAAUAAAAACAAAAAAUAUAUACGACUUCAUAAAUAGAACUUAGCAUAAAAAAUGAGUUCAAAACAAAAAAAAAACAAAAGAAAAAUAAAAAUUCAUCACAAGAAAAGGCACUUUUAAAAUUAAAAAAAUUAAAUUAUGUUCAACUUAUAACUUUUUUAGUUUUUCUUCCUUGAUUUCAAUUAAUUGUUUUUGGAACUCGAGCUUUGCUUUAAUUUCCUGCAUUCUCAUUGCUUCCAUUUCAAGGUUGUGCCUUGAGGUUUCAUCCAACAUCUUCUUCUGAAAUUCACUAAUUUUGUCAAUGGACCUGCAUAUUUUCUUGGAAUGGUAUUAAAUUUCUUUUUGGUGUCGCUUCAUAGCCUCAACUGCCUCUUCAACCUUAUUGCAGAGUUGUUUUUGAAUUUUGAUUUCUCGUUCUAAAGCGACGUCACAAGUUAUGCCUUUUUGUGUUUUUUUUGUAGGACGAGGAGUUGAAGUUCUGUGUUCAAUGUUCAUAUGGGAACCAUUUGUUUCAAUGUUCUUCUCCUCCGGUUCAGUUGCAUUCGUUAUCAUAGCAAACAUAACAUUCUCGUCGUGUCCUUUAACACUUCAACAGAACGGCUGACUGAUGAUGAAUUAGGACAAUUUUCACUUUCGACGAUUUUAUUUCGAUUACCGUCUGUCUUUCUCUUUUUGUAACCUUCCACCGAUUCUUCUAAGGCACAAAUUUUAAUUAUUGUUUCCUUGAACGCACUGAAUUUAUACUCCUUGUGUGGGCCUCCACCGGUUGCUUUUUGUUGUCUCUUGUUUUUAGACAUUUUCUUCCUCACGU